AAGAGUUUGAUCAUGGCUCAGAUUGAACGCUGGCGGCAGGCCUAACACAUGCAAGUCGAACGGUAACAGGAAGCAGCUUGCUGCUUCGCUGACGAGUGGCGGACGGGUGAGUAAUGUCUGGGAAACUGCCUGAUGGAGGGGGAUAACUACUGGAAACGGUGGCUAAUACCGCAUAACGUCGCAAGACCAAAGAGGGGGACCUUCGGGCCUCUUGCCAUCAGAUGUGCCCAGAUGGGAUUAGCUAGUUGGUGAGGUAACGGCUCACCAAGGCGACGAUCCCUAGCUGGUCUGAGAGGAUGACCAGCCACACUGGAACUGAGACACGGUCCAGACUCCUACGGGAGGCAGCAGUGGGGAAUAUUGCACAAUGGGCGCAAGCCUGAUGCAGCCAUGCCGCGUGUAUGAAGAAGGCCUUCGGGUUGUAAAGUACUUUCAGCGGGGAGGAAGGUGUUGUGGUUAAUAACCACAGCAAUUGACGUUACCCGCAGAAGAAGCACCGGCUAACUCCGUGCCAGCAGCCGCGGUAAUACGGAGGGUGCAAGCGUUAAUCGGAAUUACUGGGCGUAAAGCGCACGCAGGCGGUCUGUCAAGUCGGAUGUGAAAUCCCCGGGCUCAACCUGGGAACUGCAUUCGAAACUGGCAGGCUUGAGUCUUGUAGAGGGGGGUAGAAUUCCAGGUGUAGCGGUGAAAUGCGUAGAGAUCUGGAGGAAUACCGGUGGCGAAGGCGGCCCCCUGGACAAAGACUGACGCUCAGGUGCGAAAGCGUGGGGAGCAAACAGGAUUAGAUACCCUGGUAGUCCACGCCGUAAACGAUGUCUACUUGGAGGUUGUGCCCUUGAGGCGUGGCUUCCGGAGCUAACGCGUUAAGUAGACCGCCUGGGGAGUACGGCCGCAAGGUUAAAACUCAAAUGAAUUGACGGGGGCCCGCACAAGCGGUGGAGCAUGUGGUUUAAUUCGAUGCAACGCGAAGAACCUUACCUGGUCUUGACAUCCACGGAAGUUUUCAGAGAUGAGAAUGUGCCUUCGGGAACCGUGAGACAGGUGCUGCAUGGCUGUCGUCAG
rnacentral:rRNA from 1 species